AAGCUCCUUCGACAGCCCUGGUGUGCGGCGCAGACUGAGGACGUCCACGUGGGGAGCUGUUUGAUGAGAGGGCGGGUGCCUCGCCUGGCCCCCCACUCUGUGAGGCAAGCAGGGAGAAUAGAAAACAACUGAAAAUGGAACUUAGAUUCUGACACGGUGAGAGUAAGACACAGGCACGGUUCCCCCGUGAGAAUGACGGGCACAGGCUGACCAUCCGUGGUCACUUGGCAGAGGUCUCUGUUCCAACCCCUGGUGCCAGAUAUCACAGCAGGAGGACAGAACGAACCAAAGGACUGGGAGUGCUGCACCCUCAGUUUCAGGACUGAUUCUCAAACUGACCAGCCGUGUGCCUUACGGUAAGCCACCUACCCUCUCUGAGGGGCCAUGUGUGUGUGUGUGUGUGUGUGUGUGUG